rnacentral:rRNA from 1 species
UACGGGGUGCAGCAGGCGCGAAACCUUUACACUGCACGACAGUGCGAUAGGGGGAUCCCAAGUGCACAGGCAUAAGCGCCUGUGCUUUUCGGUACCCUAAGGCGGUACCAGAAUAAGGGCUGGGCAAGACCGGUGCCAGCCGCCGCGGUAAUACCGGCAGCCCAAGUGAUGGCCGAUCUUAUUGGGCCUAAAGCGUCCGUAGCUGGCCACGCAAGUCCAUCGGGAAAUCCACCUGCCCAACAGGUGGACGCCCGGUAGAAACUGCGUGGCUUGGGACCGGAAGGCGCGACGGGUACGUCCGGGGUAGGAGUGAAAUCCCGUAAUCCUGGACGGACCGCCGAUGGCGAAAGCACGUCGCGAGAACGGAUCCGACAGUGAGGGACGAAAGCCAGGGUCUCGAACCGGAUUAGAUACCCGGGUAGUCCUGGCCGUAAACAAUGUCUGCUAGGUGUGGCUCCCACUACGAGUGGGUGCUGUGCCGCAGGGAAGCCGCUAAGCAGACCGCCUGGGAA